UUGGGCGUAAAGAGCUCGUAGGCGGUUUGUCGCGUCCGCUGUGAAAGCCCGGGGCUCAACCCCGGGUCUGCAGUGGGUACGGGCAGACUAGAGUGCAGUAGGGGAGACUGGAAUUCCUGGUGUAGCGGUGAAAUGCGCAGAUAUCAGGAGGAACACCGAUGGCGAAGGCAGGUCUCUGGGCUGUUACUGACGCUGAGGAGCGAAAGCAUGGGGAGCGAACAGGAUUAGAUACCCUGGUAGUCCAUGCCGUAAACGUUGGGCACUAGGUGUGGGGGACAUUCCACGUUCUCCGCGCCGUAGCUAACGCAUUAAGUGCCCCGCCUGGGGAGUACGGCCGCAAGGCUAAAACUCAAAGGAAUUGACGGGGGCCCGCACAAGCGGCGGAGCAUGCGGAUUAAUUCGAUGCAACGCGAAGAACCUUACCAAGGCUUGACAUUCACCGGACCGCCCCAGAGAUGGGGUUUCCCUUCGGGGUCGGUGGACAGGUGGUGCAUGGUUGUCGUCAGCUCGUGUCGUGAGAUGUUGGGUUAAGUCCCGCAACGAGCGCAACCCUCGUUCUAUGUUGCCAGCACGUGAUGGUGGGGACUCAUAGGAGACUGCCGGGGUCAACUCGGAGGAAGGUGGGGAUGACGUCAAAUCAUCAUGCCCCUUAUGUCUUGGGCUUCACGCAUGCUACAAUGGCCGGUACAAAGGGUUGCGAUACUGUGAGGUGGAGCUAAUCCCAAAAAGCCGGUCUCAGUUCGGAUUGAGGUCUGCAACUCGACCUCAUGAAGUCGGAGUCGCUAGUAAUCGCAGAUCAGCAACGCUGCGGUGAAUACGUUCCCGGGCCUUGUACACACCGCCCGUCAAGUCACGAAAGUUGGUAACACCCGAAGCCGGUGGCCUAACCCCUUUGGGGAGGGAGCCGUCG
rnacentral:rRNA from 1 species